ensembl:lncRNA
UUAUUACAUGUCUUAGUCAGACCACGCCCCAGUUCACCUUCACCUGUUUUUGGAGUCUGCACGGCUUCUGUCGGAACAGGAUGAGAUGCAGGAGAAACGGAGGGAUCAGGAGACUGAGGUGUGAAGGAAGCCUGGAGCGACUUCACCCUCUUCUUCAUUCUCUCAGAGACUCUGGCCACGAUUGUGACGGCAUUCUAAUUUCUACAUCCAGAUCCUUUUCUUCACGCUGUGGUGCGUCUCUCCUCCACCUGCAGCAGCUGUUCAAUCAGCAGCUUCACUGGAGUGCAUAGGUAGAGGUCAAAGCUCAAAACUCAAAACUAACGUUCUUUACAAUCUCCUACACCACGGAAACACACGUGCACACACACACGUGCACACACACACACACAUGAAUUAAAGUCCUGUGUAGGUCUAUAAAUGCCAGUGGGGUGUAGGGACACCUAUCACCUGUUUAUGAUGAAAGUAGUGAAUGUGAUUGUGUGUGCACUGAGACUUCAUUGCAGCUGGACCACAGAGAGUUGCAGGACUGCACCUACCAGUUAAGAUAAGCAUAUGCUGCAGAAUGAAUGCCCUUUACACGCACAUGCACGCAAACACACACACACGCAGGUCUCAUUAGCCUGUGUAAUUAUGCAUGGCACGUCCAGUUGGCCAGUGGAGAAGUAAUUAACCUUUUCCAGCAGGAAACAGCAAUCUGGGCGUCUGACACACUCACAUGCACGCACACACGUCUGGUGUCACGGAAAUAAAGUGUCAAAGACAGCGGCUGGCAUUCAAUGAUAAUCCCCUCACGCAUAUUUCCAUCCAAGGCUUAAAACACUAAUAAUGCCAAAUUACCUCUCCUCUCCCUUUAUCUUCCCUCCUUUCUCUUUCUCCCUCUUCUUGUCCCCAAGUCCUUCUCUGUCUUUCUCCCUCCCUCCCUCCCUCCCUCCCUCCCUCCCUCCCUCCCUCCCUCCCUCCCUCCCUCCCUGUCUGUCUGUCUGGCUACCAAACCUCUUUCUUUCUCUCUCAUCUCCCAUCUGUCUGUCUCUCUCUCUCUCUCUCUCUCAUCUGUCUGUCUCUCUCUCUCUCUCGUUUGUCUGUCUGUCUGUCUGUCUGUCUGUCUCUGGCUACGAAACCUCUUUUCUCCACCACUCUCCCUGUCUCCCUCUCCUUUCUCCCCUCUCUCAAUCAAUUUGCCCACAUCCCUCUCUCUCCUGCUCUUUAUCUCACAGUAAAACACAUGUUCUCUGGGCAGUGAGCAUGUGAGCAUGGCCUUACAGUAUUUCUAUCACAGCAUAUUGGAUGACUGUCAUUCAUAUUCCAUUAGCCCAGCUUAAUGUAUACAACAUCGAUAGGUUUAAGCUACAACAUGAUACUCGAAUUUGCCCUAUACCCAUCGUAAGGUUGUUAGUUGAUCUGAUCACAGUUCACUUACAUACCAGCUACAUACAGCUUCAGCCUUGUUCUAAAAUAGAUUCAAUGAUUGUUUUCCCUCUUCAAUCUACACACAAUACCCCAUAAUGACAAAGCGAAAACAGGUUUUUAGAAAUUUGUGCAAAUGUAUAAAAAAAACAAAAACAACAAUACCUUAUUUACAUAAGUUUUCAGACCCUUUGCUUUGAGACUCGAAAUUGUGCUCAGGUGCAUCCUGUUUCCUUUGAUUAUCCUUGAGAUGUUUCUACAGUACAACUUGAUUGGAGUCCACCUGUGGUCAAUUCCAUUGAUUGGACACUUGACAAUGCAUGUCAGAGCUAAUACCAAGCAAUGGGGUCAAAGGAUUUGUCCGUAGAGACAAAAGACAGGAUUUUGUCGAGCCACAGAUCUAUGGAAGGGUACUGCAGCAUUGAAGGUCCCCAAAAACACAGUGGCCUCCAUCAUUCUUAAAUGGAAGAAGUUUGGUACCACCAACACUCUUCCUAGAGCUGGUCAACCGGGCAAACUGAGCAAUCGGGGGGAGAAGGACCUUGGUCCGGGAUGUGACCAAGAACCUGAUGGUCACUCUGUCUGAGCUACAGAGUUCCUCUGUGGAGAUGGGAGAACCUUCCAGAAGGACAACCAUCUCUGCAGCACUCCACCAAUCAAGCCUUUGGUAGAGUGGCCAGACGGAAGCCACUACUCAGUAAAAGACACAUGAUGGCCUGCUUGGAGCUUGCCAAAAGGCAGCUAAGGACUCUCAGACCAUGAGAAACAAGAUUAUCUUGUCUGAUGAAACCAAGAUUGAACUAUUUGGCCUGAAUACCAAGUCACAUCUGAAGGAAACAUGGCACCAUCCCUACGGUGAAGCAUGGUGGUGGCAGCAUCAUGCUGUGGGGAUGUUUUUCAGCGGCAGGGACUGGGAGACUAGUCAUGAUCAAGGAAAAUUGAAUGGAGCAAAGUACAGAGAGAUCCUUGAUGAAAACCUGCUCCAUAGCACUCAAUACCUCAGACUGGGGGCGAACGCUCACCUUCCAAUAGGACAACGACCUUAAGCACACAGCCAAGACAACGCAGGAGUUGCUUCGGCACCAGUCUCUGAAUGUCCAUGAGUGUCCCAGCCAGAGCCCGGACUUGAACCCAAUCAAACAUCUCUGGAAAGACCUGAAAAUAGCUGUGUAUCGGCGUUCCCCAUCCAACCGGACAGAGCUUGAAAUGAUCUGCAUUGAAGAAUGGGAGAAACUCCCCAAAUACAAGUGUGCCAAGCGUCAUACCCAAGAAGACUUGAGGCAGUAAUCACUGCCAAACGUGCUUCAACAAAGUACUGAGUAAAGGGUCUGAAUACUUAUGUAAAUGUAAUAUUUCCAUUUUAUUUCCAUUUUUCUAAAAACCUGUUUUUGCUUUGUUAUUAUAGGGUUAUGUGUGUAGAUUUAUGAGCGAGAAAACUAUUUAAUACAUUUUAGAAUAAGGCUGAAAUGUAACAAAAUAUGGAAAAAGUCAAGGGGUCUGAAUACUUUCUGAAUGCACUGUUCGUACAUAUCCCAACCAGAAGCCAUGGAUUACAGGCAACAUCCGCACUGACCUAUAGGCUAGAGCUGCCUGUUUCAAGGAGCGGUACACUAAUCCGGAAGCUUCUAAGAAAUCCUGCUACGAACUCAGAUGAGCCAUCAAACAUGCAAAGUGUUACAGGACUAAGAUCAAAUACUACUACGCCGGCUCUGAUGCUCGUUGGAUGUGGCAGGGUUUGAAAGCUAUAACGGAUUACAAAGGGAAACCCAGCUGCAAGCUGCCCAGUGACGCGAGCCUACCAGACGAGCUAAAUGCCUUCUACGCUUGCUUCGAGGCAAUCAACACUGAACCAUGCAUGAGAGCAUCAGCUGUUCCAGACGACUGUGUGAUCUCGCUUUCCGUAGCCAAUGUGAGUAAGACCUUAAAUUAGGUUAACAUGGUCGCAGGGGCCAGAAGGAUUACCAGGACAGGUACUCAAAGCAUGCACUGAUUAACCUUUCCCUGACCCUGUUUGUAAUACUUACAUGUUUCAAGCAGACCACCAUAUUCCCUGUGCGCCAAGGUAACCUGUCUAAAUUACUAUUGCCCCAUAGCACUCACAUCUGUAGUCACGGAAUGCUUUGAAAGGCGGGUCAUGGCUCAUAUCUACACCUCAUUCCAGACACCCUGGACCCACUCCAAUUUGUAUACCGCUCCAACAGAUCCACAGAUUACGCACCCUCUAUUGCACUCCACACUGCCCUCUCCCACCUGGAUAAGAGGAACAGCUAUGUGAAAAUGUUGUUCAUUGACUCCAGCUCAACGUCCAACACCAUAGUGCCCUCCAAGCUCAUCAAUAAGCCCAGGACCCUGGGACUGAACACCAGUCUGCUCCGUAAGUUCUCUGAUGACACAAUGGUGGUAGGCCUGAUCUCCAACAACAAUGAGACAGCCUAUAGGGAGGAGGUCAGUAACCUGGGAAUGUGGUGCCAGCACAGCAACCUCUCCCUCAACUUCAGCAAGACAAAGGAGCAUGAUCGUGGACUCCAGAAAAUGUGAGCUGAGCAUGCUGAGCACACCCCCCUCCUCAUUAAUGGGUCUGUAGUGGAGUGGGUCAAGAGCUUUAAGUUCUUCUGUGUCUACAUC